rnacentral:rRNA from 1 species
GACGAACGCUGGCGGCGUGCUUAACACAUGCAAGUCGAACGGAAAGGCCCUGCUUUUGUGGGGUGCUCGAGUGGCGAACGGGUGAGUAACACGUGAGUAACCUGCCCUUGACUUUGGGAUAACUUCAGGAAACUGGGGCUAAUACCGGAUAGGAGCUCCUGCCGCAUGGUGGGGGUUGGAAAGUUUCGGCGGUUGGGGAUGGACUCGCGGCUUAUCAGCUGGUUGGUGGGGUAGUGGCUUACCAAGGCUUUGACGGGUAGCCGGCCUGGGAGGGUGACCGGCCACAUUGGGCCUAGGAUACGGCCCAGACGCCUACGGGAGGCAGCAGGGGGGAAUAUUGCACAAUGGGCGGAAGCCUGAUGCAGAGACGCCGCGUGCGGGAUGACGGCCUUCGGGUUGUAAACCGCUUUCGCCUGUGACGAAGCGUGAGUGACGGUAAUGGGUAAAGAAGCACCGGCUAACUACGUG